rnacentral:rRNA from 1 species
AUUGAACGCUGGCGGCAGGCCUAACACAUGCAAGUCGAGCGGAUGAAGGGAGCUUGCUCCUGGAUUCCGCGGCGGACGGGUGAGUAAUGCCUAGGAAUCUGCCUGGUAGUGGGGGAUAACGUCCGGAAACGGGCGCUAAUACCGCAUACGUCCUGCGGGAGAAAGUGGGGGAUCUUCGGACCUCACGCUAUCAGAUGAGCCUAGGUCGGAUUAGCUAGUUGGUGGGGUAAAGGCCUACCAAGGCGACGAUCCGUAACUGGACUGAGAGGAGGAUCAGUCACACUGGAACGGAGACACGGUCCAGACUCCUACGGUAGGCAGCAGUGGGGAAUAUUGGACAAUGGGCGAAAGCCUGAUCCAGCCAUGCCGCGUGUGUGAAGAAGGUCUUCGGAUUGUAAAGCACUUUAAGUUGGUAGGAAGGGCAGUAAGUUAAUACCUUGCUGGUUUGACGUUACCAACAGAAGAAGCACCGGCUAACUUCGUG